AGGACUUGUAUAUUUUUAUUUUCAUCUCUUUGUGAAAUCUCUCUUGUCCCUACAACAAUCACUGAUUAUGGUGUAAACCCUUAACCUUAAACUAUGAAAAUCACUGAUUCUACAUAAAAUUAUGGUGUAAAUUCAUAGCACUAAUUGUCGAUCCUAUCAGGAAUUUUGAAAAAUUUGCAUAAGAACGGUCUGACGCUCAACUUCUUGGCCUCCAACAAAAUUGACUUCUUGCAGCACUACAAAGAAGAGAGUUAGAGGAACAUAUAAAUCUAUGAAGGUGGAUAUGAAGACCAAGUAUGGGGGAGAAAUCUUAGUGGACAUUCCUAAUGAUAUUGAUAGAGGUGUAGGUGACGGGGCUAGGGAUAUUGUCAAUUAUUGUGGCUUGAUAGUGAGAACCACUGUCUCAUUUUUAAAUUGAGAUUGGUCUUCCAUUUUUACCAAACAUGGACAAAUGAUUCGGUUGAAGGUGAAGGUUAAGUUAACUUUAAUGUUAUCUUGACUUUUAGAUUACAUGUGUAUCUAUGUUAGAGAAAAAUAUACAAUUUUACAUGUGUUUUUAGGAUAAAUAUGAAGUUGGUAGAGACAGGCAAGAAAGUGUUUUGUAAACUUUUAUAAUUAGCACCACACAAAGGCUCUUUACAGCAUGGAAGAAUCGAUUACACAAGGAAUACCUGCUCUAUGAGACUAAUGAAGAAAGAUUGUCCCAUCAACUAGAAAGUGUUUCACCCUUGGAUUGGGAAUGUGGCUACCGGCUCUGAAUUCUCAAGACUUUGUUACCAAAAAAUCGUGUGUUCUUGAUCACUUUUAUGCUUACUCUCUCUUUUCAUUUCUCGUUGUUGUAAUUAUGUUAUUGGAGUUAUCAAAGAUAUAUUUUUUUUGUAAAAUUUCAGGGGCAAGGUUCUUAGCAGGAAAAAUGAUUGUCAAAGAGUUGGAAAUUAUUUUGUGAUUCUCUUUUUGUGUAUUUAGAAUGAUCAAUAUUAUGAUAAGGUGUAUAUGCAAUGGUCCUCAUUGAAGUAUGUAAUGUUGUCCACUUUAUUUUAUGACUUUUAUUAAUGAAAAGUUCAUGGAUUUUGAGA